rnacentral:rRNA from 1 species
GAUGAACGCUAGCGAUAGGCUUAACACAUGCAAGUCGAGGGGCAGCGAGGUGUAGCAAUACACCGUCGGCGACCGGCGAAUGGGUGCGUAACGCGUAUGCAACUUACCUUUUAGUGGGGGAUAACCCGGUGAAAGCCGGACUAAUACCGCAUAUGCUCCGAAUAUCACAUGAUUUAAGGAGGAAAGAUUUAUUGCUAAGAGAUAGGCAUGCGUUCCAUUAGUUUGUUGGUAAGGUAACGGCUUACCAAGACUACGAUGGAUAGGGGGACUGAGAGGUUGACCCCCCACACUGGUACUGAGAUACGGACCAG